rnacentral:rRNA from 1 species
GCGAACGGGUGAGUAACACGUGAGCAACCUGCCCCUGACUCCGGGAUAAGCGGUGGAAACGCCGUCUAAUACCGGAUACGACCCGCCACCUCAUGGUGGAGGGUGGAAAGUUUUUCGGUCAGGGAUGGGCUCGCGGCCUAUCAGCUUGUUGGUGGGGUAACGGCCUACCAAGGCGAUUACGGGUAGCCGGCCUGAGAGGGCGACCGGCCACACUGGGACUGAGACACGGCCCAGACUCCUGCGGGAGGCAGCAGUGGGGAAUAUUGCGCAAUGGGCGAAAGCCUGACGCAGCGACGCCGCGUGGGGGAUGACGGCCUUCGGGUUGUAAACCUCUUUUACCACCAACGCAGGCCCGGAGUUCUCUUCGGGUUGACGGUAGGUGGGGAAUAAGGACCGGCUAACUACGUGCCAGCAGCCGCGGUAAUACGUAGGGUCCGAGCGUUGUCCGGAAUUAUUGGGCGUAAAGAGCUCGUAGGCGGCGUGUCGCGUCUGCUGUGAAAGACCGGGGCUUAACUCCGGUUCUGCAGUGGAUACGGGCAUGCUAGAGGUAGGUAGGGGAGACUGGAAUUCCUGGUGUAGCGGUGAAAUGCGCAGAUAUCAGGAGGAACACCGGUGGCGAAGGCGGGUCUCUGGGCCUUACCUGACGCUGAGGAGCGAAAGCAUGGGGAGCGAACAGGAUUAGAUACCCUGGUAGUCCAUGCCGUAAACGUUGGGCGCUAGGUGUGGGGACUUUCCACGGUUUCCGCGCCGUAGCUAACG